AGAGUUACCUGAGCUGCGCUGAGCGCGCGUAUCCCUGGAAAUAGCGGAGGCGCGCAAACAGGUAGAACAGUCCGCACAGGGCUGCGGCUCCUGCGAGAGGCGAUGCAAGGCGACGCGGUGAGCACGAGCUCCCGCCAUCCGGGAUCACCCCCACCCCCAAAGUGUGCCCCCACGCUGCCCCGCACCUUCGUGGAAGAAGAUGCCGGCGACCCAGAGUGUGGCUAGGAACAGCGGAAAGUACUCGCUGCAGUUUACCCUGCGAGGGGUAGGCUGGGUGAGCGCGUGGUUCACCUUGGCUGACACCCGAACCCGCCCGGACCCGCCGCGCUCACUGGGCUCGGAAGACGCGCUCGAACUCGGGAGGGCCAGAGUACCCCCUUCAUGGAUCAAGAGAAGAUACUGAGCAUCAUAACCGCCACAGAGAGCUGCUCCAGCUGUACAAGGUAGCCACUGGGGAAGAACUGACCUUAUUCAUCGACAGACCAAAAGUACUGUCCAGGAAAGGACACAGGAUGUGGGAUAGUCGACAGCUUAGCUCUGCCAAGAAAGGCUCUCUGCAAAGCUUUACACUUGGGCUGUCAAGAUGGCUCAGCCAGUCUUCCACCACAUCUGAUGGCAUGAUUAUAAUCCCUGGGACCCACUUGGGGAAGCCAACUCCAACAAGUUAUCUUCUAGUCUCCACAGGCAUGCUACUAACCGACAUCCACAUAUUUUUUUUAAAAUGUAGUGAGAAAAAUUCAAAGUUGUGCUAUCCAAGUUGAAAUCCUACAUCAUCAAGGCCUCUUUCCCCCUCUAAAGGAGCCACUGAAAUGGAAACUCCACUGCUUCCUUGGAGAGACCUCUCUUGUAGGCCCAACCCCGGGUUGAACAGCUCAGCUAGCAUCACGUCAGUGAAAAGGCCCUUCCUCUGUAGAGAAAUCAAGAAGAACACUACCCACUCUGAAGUCUAAACUCACAAGACCCUUACAUCAAGCUCUAAUAUGGUAACAUUAACCUGACGUGGCAAAUCUAUCUGGUCAGGGUUUCACACUCAAAGGACUUACUGACAAGUCAGACUCAAGUCGCCUUUUAAAGCUAAGCUUGGUGGUGUUCAUCUUUAAUCUCAGCACUUGGGAAGGAGGAACAAGCGGAUCUCUGAAUUUGAGGCCAGCCUGGUCUACAGAGCAAGUUCCAGAACAGCCAGGACGACACACACACACAAACACGGUGUGCCCACCAAAAAUAAAUAAAUAAAAGUUUUUAUUUUU
rnacentral:lncRNA from 1 species